UAGGGGGUGGUGUAAGCGGCUCGGCACAAGGGGCUGUGGUCCCCUGAGAGCGGGUUCGAGACCCGUCCCCCUGA
rnacentral:tRNA from 1 species